rnacentral:tRNA from 1 species
GGAGGUGAAUUGGACAGAAAUACUUUCUUCCAAACUGGCUACGCGGGUUCGAUUCCCGUCGCCCGCUCCACCA